GACGAACGCUGGCGGCGUGCUUAACACAUGCAAGUCGAACGGAAAGGCCCUGCUUUUGUGGGGUGCUCGAGUGGCGAACGGGUGAGUAACACGUGAGUAACCUGCCCUUGACUUUGGGAUAACUUCAGGAAACUGGGGCUAAUACCGGAUAGGAGCUCCUGCUGCAUGGUGGGGGUUGGAAAGUUUCGGCGGUUGGGGAUGGACUCGCGGCUUAUCAGCUUGCUGGUGGGGUAGUGGCUUACCAAGGCUUUGACGGGUAGCCGGCCUGAGAGGGUGACCGGCCACAUUGCGACUGAGAUACGGCGCAGAGUCCUACGGGAGGCAGCAGUGGGGAGUAUUGCACAAUGGGGGGAAGCCUGAUGCAGCAACGCCGCGUGCGGGAUGACGGCCUUCGGGUUGUAAACCGCUUUCGCCUGUGACGAAGCGUGAGUGACGGUAAUGGGUAAAGAAGCACCGGCUAACUACGUG
rnacentral:rRNA from 1 species